AACGAACGCUGGCGGCAUGCCUAACACAUGCAAGUCGAACGAGACCUUCGGGUCUAGUGGCGCACGGUGCGUAACGCGUGGGAACCUGCCUUUAGGUUCGGAAUAACUCAGAGAAAUUUGAGUUAAUACCGGAUAAUGUCUUCGGACCAAAAGAUUUAUCGCCUUUAGAUGGGCCCGCGUAAGAUUAGCUAGUUGGUGGGGUAAAGGCCUACCAAGGCGACGAUCUUUAGCUGGUCUGAGAGGAUGAUCAGCCACACUGGGACUGAGACACGGCCCAGACUCCUACGGGAGGCAGCAGUGGGGAAUAUUGGACAAUGGGCGAAAGCCUGAUCCAGCAAUGCCGCGUGAGU
rnacentral:rRNA from 1 species